UGCCCAGCAACUCCUAUCUCUACCUCCUCGUGAUACUGGCCGGGUUACAAGUAACAUUAAGGAAGAUCGGGUAACCAGCCCCGGAGGGAACUUUGGUCGUAUGCUGACAGGGAAGA
rnacentral:ribozyme from 1 species